AGAUAAAUAUAUAACCUUGUAUGAAAGUACCAUAUGAAAAUUAAAUGCGAAAGCAAAAAACAUUUACAAAACUCUAAGCUCAUAAAUUUAGUAAAAAAGCUGAAAUUUUCUAAGACCGCUCUCAAAAUCCCUGUUUUUUUCAACAACGCGUCAUAUUACGUAGUCAGAGGCGCUCGUCUGACAUGCUCUACAUUGGCAGUGCUGCGGUUGUAUUCAGCAAAAGCAGUCGCAAAUUGAUGUGAUUCUCCGUAGUUUCAAUUUAGCAUCGUCAUGGUUAAUAAUUGUGUUAGUGGAGGUUUUUCAAACUCCAGCCUGUCAGGACAAUGAGUCCACAGGUUUCUUUUGAAGAAUAAAGACCGCGCUAUCUUCCGUGUCUGGGUGUGUUUAGCGCAGCACGAGGAAAGAGACGAGAGACGCGACUUCAGUUCACCAUGUGCUUCAGAAAAACGCGGUGGUGUAUAGCGUUCACGUUAGAUCGGAGGAUUAUCAUCCCGGCAAUAUGAUGGAGUUAAACAUUGGAUGCCGAAGCAAGAACCACGUGAGGCCUGUGUUUUUGCCGCCGCGAGAAAACAUGAAUCGAUCACGGUCCGUCUGAGAUGCAGCUCGAAGAUAACGUGAACUAUGCACAUUGUCCAGCUACAGAUGAAGAUGCUUAGUAUGAUGAAUCAUCCUCUGUUGUCAUGGACGAACCUGGCGAUGUGUUAUGGAGGAGGAAAAAACAAAAAAGACUCAUCUGAUGAGAAACCACUGCAAGAAUCUCAUCCUGUUCACACAAGUCUGUGCAGCAUGCAUGUAUCAGCAUUUUUGGUGACCAGUGACUUCUCUUCUGAGGGGCGUGAAUUCCAAAUGUGUGUUUGUUGUGACGUGUGUGAACCAUGUGCAUCAUGCCUCUUGUCACAAUACGUGCCUGCUGCACACGCGUU